rnacentral:rRNA from 1 species
UCGCCAGGGAACUACGAGCCAAGCUUAAAACCCAAAGGACUUGACGGUUCACCACAUCCCCCUAGAGGAGCCUGUCCUACAAUCGAUAUUCCCCGAUAUACCUCACCUAUAUUUGUUUAUCAGCCUGUAUACCUCCGUCGUCAGCUUACCACGUGAGCGCCAAUAAGUGAGCUUGAUGUUCUUAUAACAACACGUCAGGUCAAGGUGCAGCAUAUAUUUAGGAAAGAGAUGGGCUACACUUUCUAUUAUAGAAAAUACGAAAAACUAUUUAUGAAAUCUAGUUAGAAGGCGGAUUUAGCAGUAAAGAGAAAUUAGUAUAUUCUCUUAAACCUGGCACUGGAGUGCGCACACACCGCCCGUCACCCUCU